rnacentral:rRNA from 1 species
UACGUAGGUCCCGAGCGUUGUCCGGAUUUAUUGGGCGUAAAGCGAGCGCAGGUGGUUUAUUAAGUCUGGUGUAAAAGGCAGUGGCUCAACCAUUGUAUGCAUUGGAAACUGGUAGACUUGAGUGCAGGAGAGGAGAGUGGAAUUCCAUGUGUAGCGGUGAAAUGCGUAGAUAUUCGGAGGAACACCGGUGGCGAAGGCGGCCAACUGGGCUUUAACUGACGCUGAGGCUCGAAAGUGUGGGGAGCAAACAGG